CGAGCACUUGGUUGCUCCUCCCUCUCUUUCCCAGGGUGGUUGAGGGGUUUUGCUGUAACGGGCUUAUUUUCCUGUUUUCACCCGCUCGGCUUAAAUCCAGUGCCAUCGCGCUAUUACGAGGCCAACACUGAGAACGCGAAGCGGAGAGACAAGACCAAGGUUGAGGUGAAUCUAGGGCCAUGUUGAUAUGUGACCCCAGAGAAUCUUGAAUGAGAAUGUAAUAUGACAUACAUCGACUUUGCAUUCAACGAACCCUUUUCUACGUGACCCAUUGCCACUAUGCGGGAAUUAAGAAGGAAGUGAGGAAUUACAUUCUUGGAGAUAUUGGGAAAAGAUUCCUGGGUCUUGGAACAUGACUCAAAAUAUGCAGAGGAGGUGUAAAAUCGAAGGGUGUUUUUCUUAGAAAAUAUUUGUCUGAUUUAUCUGAUCAAGAAUUCAAAGAUGUGUAUAAUAAGCUUCCAAAGAUAACAUGUGACUUUAAAGAUACAGGUAGUCCUUACUUUGUACCAUUCCAACAUGCAUGAAUAUCAGUUUUCAGUGUAAAUAUCACCAAUUCAACAACAUGGUUGAAAUUUCAGUUACCACAACAUUAACUGAAUUGUUGCAUAAACUUUUUUGCUAGCUCUUUAUUGUACAAAUCAUAAUGCAAAUCAAAGAUGUGCAUCAUGAUCAUUAACCAGUUCUAUCACUUCUUUCAAACUCUGUUGGUGAUUGGUCACUGAACAUCUAUUAGUUCACACACAGAUAGAAUAAUUGUAUUGUAUGCAACAUUUUAUAGAAAUAGAUAAAACCAAAAGAGGGAAUUGGUCAACAAAGAUGACAGCAGCAAAGAAACAAAAAGUGAUAAAACUGAAAAUGAAAUUGGAUAUGGUUAGAUUUGAAAAUGGUGACAGCAAAGCAAAGAUAGAACGAGACCAAGGCCUACAUGAAACUACAGGUUAAGUUGUACUAGGAACAGAAAGGCACUUAUGGUUGAAAUGGAAGAUUUACUUCUACUUUGGAUUAAGGACUAUAAUCAAAAAUAAUUCCCAGUUUGGCUAGCAUUUAGGCCAAUGCAUCGAAGUUAGAUGCUGCAUUGAAGGCAAUGGUAAAUUCAGGGAGACUGAAAAGAAUAUUUUACUGCCAGUAAAGGCUAGUUUCAUCAUUUUAGAAGUCUGCAUGAAUUCAUCAACAUUAUCUGGUGAAACUGCAAGCUCAGGUGAGGAGGCUACUGUGAAAUUUGCAGCCAGAUUCCAAGAAUUAUAGGAAUUCUCGGCGGUCCUGGCUUCGUACAACAGUGCAAAAACUUUGCAGGAUUUGGAUGGAAUGUAAAUGCAAUUAUAGAAGAUGUCAAUGACCAUGGGAAUAUCAACAGUGCCUUGAUUCAAGACGUAAGUCUAGAUAUACAGCCAGAGGAACUUAAUGCAAACAUAGUUAUAAGUGAAGAAAGUUGUGUCAUAAAGGAUGAACUCUCAGAGGAAGUGAUGCAGAGGAAAACUUCACAUUAAAGGAAUUCUCAAGAGAUAUUGCAUGCUGUUGAAAGCACAAAGGAUAAAAUUUUGGAAGUUGAUCUAAACUUAGGAGUAUGAUGAUUUGCCAAGGCACAGAAAAGAUGCUCACUCUUUAUGGUAAAUUAUAUGAGAAGAAAGCAAGCCUUGUUCUAACUACUCUUGAUACAUUUUUAUAAAGAAAUAAAACACUACAAUUUUCAAAGUU